CAAUAGCACUUCUCGCGAGAUUUAGCCGCUGCUUCCGACUUCCUCUUUAGGGUUCGCCCCCGUCUGUUGCUAAGGCGCCGGUUGCCUGGUUACCGUGAAGCGCUGGCCGCCAGCUUCCCUUGCGCUCGCUUCUAGCCAGCGGUGCUGAGUCUUCCGAGCCCCGUGACAGGGGCAGCAGGGAGAAGCAAGGCCAUCCCUGCAACCGCCAGUCAUCAUUACAAAUUAAAGUCUUACGGCCAAAGCCAAUCCCAGGUAUCGCCAAAGUUCAAACGCUUGCUGUUCAAAGGAACAGAAAGCGGCCAGCGCUAAACAAUCCAGAGGAAAAAUCUCCAAAUGCCACGCCGGUUCUUGAAUAUAGAUGCCAUAUGAAAAAAGGCUCGAAAACCUCUUGGCCCCAAAGCUGUGAGGCUUUUGGAAUCAGAUAAAAUUACGCCUCCAACUUCCCUGGGUCUUCAGCUUGCAGAUGGCAGAUCGUGGGAUGUCUUGGCCUCCGUAAUCAAUUGCCGAUGGGGUGCUGGAAGCCCGGCCAGCACAGUGCCACAGGGCGAACUGCGGACAGCUGUAGGGGUUGCAAAGGGGAGGAGGUGCAUUCUGCUUCCACUGACCAGACAGAUGGCCUACGACGUGUGAGCUGGGAGGCAGGUGUGGGCUUUAUCUCUGACCCGGCACAGCCGACUGCGGGAAAGGCCUGCAGCGGGGUAGGUGGCUCGCCUCGAAUGCGUCCAGACUACGGAACAGGUUUGUUUUUCCUGCCAGCAGAUGCUUGUUUUGAACUGUUGAAGAGCUCUGGUGGAAGAGAGCUCCCAAGCAGGAGCCCAUGGAAAAUGCAUGGCCAGGAUGUCAGCAACUGCGUCACAGCUGCACUUUGGAAAGGGGUGAUGGCUUUGAACAAUGCACGCGCGUUCACAUGACAAACCAUUAAGAUUCCAGCCGGGUAAACAGCAUGUGUUCUCCACCGGGUUGCUCCUCGGCCUCCAGCACAGUGUACGCGGGGACCCGUCUCACCGGUUCAGCAAUCGUGGGGCUCACUUUUAGAUUUUGUGGGGUGCUGUGGAUGCUGUGUUUGAUCAUGGAGCAAUGGACUCUCCUCCCAAAUAAAAAGAUGAUUUCUUCAUAGGUUUCUUGUACCUGUCAAGAGGACUCUUCGGUCGCUAAAGUUACUGUGGGCUUACAAGGGUUGACAU